AGCAGUCGCCGCGGUAAUACAGAGGGUGCGAGCGUUAAUCGGAUUUACUGGGCGUAAAGCGUGCGUAGGCGGCUUCUUAAGUCGGAUGUGAAAUCCCUGAGCUUAACUUAGGAAUUGCAUUCGAUACUGGGAAGCUAGAGUAUGGGAGAGGAUGGUAGAAUUCCAGGUGUAGCGGUGAAAUGCGUAGAGAUCUGGAGGAAUACCGAUGGCGAAGGCAGCCAUCUGGCCUAAUACUGACGCUGAGGUACGAAAGCAUGGGGAGCAAACAGGAUUAGAUACCCCGUAGUCCCUGUCUCUUAUACC
rnacentral:rRNA from 1 species